GAGUUUGAUCAUGGCUCAGAACGAACGCUGGCGGCGUGCCUAACACAUGCAAGUCGAACGAGAAUGCAGGCUUCGGUCUGCUAGUAAAGUGGCGCACGGGUGAGUAAACACGUGGGUAACGUACAUCGUAGUGGGGGAUAACCAGGUGAAAGCUUGGCUAAUACCGCAUGAGUCUGUCGGGACGCGAGUCCUGAUAGGGAAAGUGGAGCAAUCCACGCUACGAGAUCGGCCCGCGGCCCAUUAGCUAGUUGGCGGGGUAACGGCCCACCAAGGCGACGACGGGUAGCUGGUCUGAGAGGAUGAUCAGCCACAACUGGAACUGAGACACGGUCCAGACUCCUACGGGAGGCAGCAGUGGGAAUUUUGCGCAAUGGGCGAAAGCCUGACACAGCAACGCCGCGUGUGUGACGAAGGCCCUAGGGUU
rnacentral:rRNA from 1 species